GGCGCAGUGAGAGGAUUUUAACACCCCCGCUCGCUGGUGGCAGAGAAAGUGCCUGGAGGAGCUGGGGUCUCAGGAGCGGGCCUGGCAGUGCGGCGUGGCGGAGCCGAGCGCAAACCGCAGCUCCUGUGAGCAAGCGCGUGGUGCAGACUUCUGCAGCCUCCGUUCCCGCCCGAGCCGUCUGAGACCAGGACCCUUCGGGCUGCAAGAGCCUCAAAAGACAGGAAGGGCCAGGGGUGCAGCUCAGUGGCACCACACCUGCCUGGCAAGCACGAGGUUCAGUUCCUGGUACCAGAAGAGAUAAAUAAAGCCAAAGACAAGAAAUGAGCAGGCAAGUAAAAU
rnacentral:lncRNA from 1 species